rnacentral:RNase_P_RNA from 1 species
UGAGAAACCGAGACAAUCGCCUGUAUCGUUUUUGCGAUGCAUGAGGAAAGUCCGAGCUCCACAGGGCAGUGUGCCGGAUAACGUCCGGCGAGGGUGACCUUAGGGACAGUGCCAUAGAAAUUUAAACCGCCGGCUUUGCCGGUAAGGGUGGAAAGGUGCGGUAAGAGCGCACCGGCGAUCGGGUAACCGGUCGGCCUUGGUAAACCCCACAUGGAGCAAGACCAAAUAGGGAAGGACAAAGGCGGCCCGUCGACCUUCCGGGUAGAGUCGCUUGAGCCUGCGGGCAACCGUCGGCCUAGAUAAAUGAUUGUCGCCGCCGCAAGGCGGAACAGAACUCGGCUUAUUGGUUUCUCGUAGC